GUCUCAUUAGCUCAGUGGUAAGAGCGCUGGCACAGAAAGCCAGAGGCCCUGGGUUCGAGUCCUGGUUGACUUG
rnacentral:tRNA from 1 species